GGUUAAGCGACUAAGCGUACACGGUGGAUGCCCUGGCAGUCAGAGGCGAUGAAGGGCGUGCUAAUCUGCGAUAAGCGCCGGUAAGGUGAUAUGAACCGUUAUAACCGGCGAUACCCGAAUGGGGAAACCCAGUGUGAUUCGUCACACUAUCAUUAACUGAAUCCAUAGGUUAAUGAGGCGAACCGGGGGAACUGAAACAUCUAAGUACCCCGAGGAAAAGAAAUCAACCGAGAUUCCCCCAGUAGCGGCGAGCGAACGGGGAGGAGCCCAGAGCCUGAAUCAGCAUGUGUGUUAGUGGAAGCGUCUGGAAAGGCGCGCGAUACAGGGUGACAGCCCCGUACACAAAAGCGCAUGUGCUGUGAGCUCGAUGAGUAGGGCGGGACACGUGGUAUCCUGUCUGAAUAUGGGGGGACCAUCCUCCAAGGCUAAAUACUCCUGACUGACCGAUAGUGAACCAGUACCGUGAGGGAAAGGCGAAAAGAACCCCGGCGAGGGGAGUGAAAAAGAACCUGAAACCGUGUACGUACAAGCAGUGGGAGCACCCUUUGGGUGUGACUGCGUACCUUUUGUAUAAUGGGUCAGCGACUUAUAUUCUGUAGCAAGGUUAACCGAAUAGGGGAGCCGGAGGGAAACCGAGUCUUAACCGGGCGUUAAGUUGCAGGGUAUAGACCCGAAACCCGGUGAUCUAGCCAUGGGCAGGUUGAAGGUUGGGUAACACUAACUGGAGGACCGAACCGACUAAUGUUGAAAAAUUAGCGGAUGACCUGUGGCUGGGGGUGAAAGGCCAAUCAAACCGGGAGAUAGCUGGUUCUCCCCGAAAGCUAUUUAGGUAGCGCCUCGUGAAUUCAUCUCCGGGGGUAGAGCACUGUUUCGGCUAGGGGGCCAUCCCGGCUUACCAACCCGAUGCAAACUGCGAAUACCGGAGAAUGUUAUCACGGGAGACACACGGCGGGUGCUAACGUCCGUCGUGAAGAGGGAAACAACCCAGACCGCCAGCUAAGGUCCCAAAGUCAUGGUUAAGUGGGAAACGAUGUGGGAAGGCCCAGACAGCCAGGAUGUUGGCUUAGAAGCAGCCAUCAUUUAAAGAAAGCGUAAUAGCUCACUGGUCGAGUCGGCCUGCGCGGAAGAUGUAACGGGGCUAAACCAUGCACCGAAGCUGCGGCAGCGACACUGUGUGUUGUUGGGUAGGGGAGCGUUCUGUAAGCCUGUGAAGGUGUGUCGUGAGGCAUGCUGGAGGUAUCAGAAGUGCGAAUGCUGACAUAAGUAACGAUAAAGCGGGUGAAAAGCCCGCUCGCCGGAAGACCAAGGGUUCCUGUCCAACGUUAAUCGGGGCAGGGUGAGUCGACCCCUAAGGCGAGGCCGAAAGGCGUAGUCGAUGGGAAACGGGUUAAUAUUCCCGUACUUGGUGUUACUGCGAAGGGGGGACGGAGAAGGCUAUGUUGGCCGGGCGACGGUUGUCCCGGUUUAAGCGUGUAGGUGUGUGUUCCAGGUAAAUCCGGUUCACUUUAACACUGAGGCGUGACGACGAGGCACUACGGUGCUGAAGCAACAAAUGCCCUGCUUCCAGGAAAAGCCUCUAAGCAUCAGGUAACAUCAAAUCGUACCCCAAACCGACACAGGUGGUCAGGUAGAGAAUACCAAGGCGCUUGAGAGAACUCGGGUGAAGGAACUAGGCAAAAUGGUGCCGUAACUUCGGGAGAAGGCACGCUGAC
rnacentral:rRNA from 1 species